CUUUCCGUGGAGGAGUCAGACUUGCACGGACAUUGAGCAGACUGCAAACUUUCUUCGGACAAACGGGUUGGAUGGUGUUGAAUGCACUGGAGAAAUCAAAGAAUAUGAUCCUGACAAGGCCCCCAGCCUUCUCCAGGUGGGAGAGGGACCUCUGCAGCAGGUGGAUGACGGCUUCAUCCACCCCGAUGUCAGGCUGUUCCUCUCUGCAUCAUUCCUUGUGGUUGACCAGAGUGAUCUGAAGAGGCUAAAGGAGGCAUACACGUUCUGCGGAAUCUCUCCAGCUAAUCCCACGAAGCAGCACACGAGAGAGCACUGCAGGACAAAGGUGCCACAGCCCA